UUGUUUUAGCAACAUGUAUAGAACAAUUAGAACAAUACAGAGAAGAUUAGCAUGGCUCUUGCACAAGGAUAACAUGCAAAUUUGUGAACCAGUUCACAUUUUU
ensembl:snRNA U6 U6 spliceosomal RNA